GAUGAACGCUGGCGGCGUGCCUAAUACAUGCAAGUCGAGCGAACAGAUGAGGAGCUUGCUCCUCUGACGUUAGCGGCGGACGGGUGAGUAACACGUGGAUAACCUACCUAUAAGACUGGGAUAACUUCGGGAAACCGGAGCUAAUACCGGAUAAUAUAUUGAACCGCAUGGUUCAAUAGUGAAAGACGGUUUUGCUGUCACUUAUAGAUGGAUCCGCGCCGCAUUAGCUAGUUGGUAAGGUAACGGCUUACCAAGGCAACGAUGCGUAGCCGACCUGAGAGGGUGAUCGGCCACACUGGAACUGAGACACGGUCCAGACUCCGACGGGAGGCAGCAGGAGGGAAUCUUCCGCAAUGGGCGAAAUCUUGACGGAGCAACGCCGCGUGAGUGAUGAAGGUCUUCGGAUCGUAAAACUCUGUUAUUAGGGAAGAACAAAUGUGUAAGUAACUAUGCACGUCUUGACGGUACCUAAUCAGAAAGCCACGGCUAACUACGUG
rnacentral:rRNA from 1 species